GGAUGCAGAAAUUGUGAGACAUUACUAGUAUAAUUCCAGCAAUGAACAUCCUCUACCUCAACAGCUGAGCCUGAGUGAGACUCUCACAGGUUUAUUGAGCUGGUGUAUUAGAUUUCCUGCUGCAUGAGCAAGAAGAUUAUGGUGGCUUACAUCUAAGUAUACUUUUGGGAGGCAUUUUGUAUUUUCUCUAUAAAUAGUCUUUCUAAAACACAAUUGUGAAACUAUUAAUGUUUAUAUCACAUUAUAUGUCUCUCUAAGUUUACUGUGCUGAGUAUACAGUGUGGUAGCAAGAGGAAAUCUUUUUGUCUAAGAAACGUGUUCAGAAUUGUUAGUGAUUAAAGCCUACUCACAGGCAAGUUCUUUAAUAUUUAUCUGUUCUGAA